rnacentral:rRNA from 1 species
UAGGCCUACGGGGCGCAGCAGUCGAGAAUCAUUCACAAUGGGGGAAACCCUGAUGCAGCGACGCCGCGUGCGGGAUGGAGGCCUUCGGGUUGUAAACCGCUUUUGUUCAAGGGCAAGGCACGGUCUUUGGCCGUGUUGAGUGGAUUGUUCGAAUAAGCACCGGCUAACUACGUGCCAGCAGCCGCGGUAAUACGUAGGGUGCAAGCGUUAUCCGGAUUUAUUGGGCGUAAAGGGCUCGUAGGCGGUUCGUCGCGUCCGGUGUGAAAGUCCAUCGCUUAACGGUGG